rnacentral:rRNA from 1 species
CCUACGGGAGGCAGCAGUGGGGAAUAUUGCACAAUGGGGGAAACCCUGAUGCAGCGACGCCGCGUGAGUGAAGAAGUAUCUCGGUACGUAAAGCUCUAUCAGCAGGGAAGAAAAUGACGGUACCUGACUAAGAAGCCCCGGCUCACUGCGUGCCAGCAGCCGCGGUAAUACGUAGGGGGCAAGCGUUAACCGGAUUUACUGGGUGUAAAGGGGGCGUAGACGGCAGGACAAGUCUGGAGUGAAAUCCCGGGGCUUAACCCCGGAACUGCUUUUGAAACUGUGGGGCUGGAGUGCAGGAGGGGUAAGUGGAAUUCGUGGUGUAGCGGUGAAAUGCGUAGAUAUUAGGAGGAACACCGGUGGCGAAGGCGGCUUACUGGACUGUAACUGACGUUGAGGCUCGAAAGCGUGGGGAGCAAACAGGAUUAGAUACCCUUGUAGUC